GGGGGCGACUGGCUUCGACGUGGGUCGCGAAACUCUGGGUGCAUGCCGAGGCACAGUUACCUCGUAAAUCCAGCUGUAAAACCAUAGUUGCCAACGACGACAACUACGCACUCGCUGCCUAAAACCCAGUAGGGUGCCGUCUGACCGGAGCCGUGCUUGUGCGUCCGAAUCAGGCGUCGACUCUCACAAGAUCGCGAGGGAGGCUCGUCCGGGGCCGAACCGCUAAACAAGUACCGGGCUGGCUGUCGGUCUUCCCUGCCCGUCGGGUAGCCGCCAGCGAGACUCAAAGACCGGGAUAAGCAUGUAGACCUCAGGGCAGAGGGCUUGCGGACGCGGGUUCGAUUCCCGCCGCCUCCACCA
rnacentral:tmRNA from 1 species